CACAGGUGCUGCAUGGCUGUCGUCAGCUCGUGUCGUGAGAUGUUGGGUUAAGUCCCGCAACGAGCGCAACCCUCACUUUUAGUUGCCAUCAUUUAGUUGGGCACUCUGAAAGAACUGCCAGUGAUAAGCUGGAGGAAGGUGGGGAUGACGUCAAGUCCUCAUGGCCCUUACGUGUUGGGCUACACACGUGCUACAAUGGCAUCUACAAUAGGAAGCAAGAUGGUAACAUUAAGCAAAUCCUAAAAAGAUGCCUCAGUUCGGAUUGCACUCUGCAACUCGAGUGCAUGAAGCUGGAAUUACUAGUAAUCGCGGAUCAGCGCGCCGCGGUGAAUACGUUCCCGGG
rnacentral:rRNA from 1 species